rnacentral:rRNA from 1 species
AACGGCAAGUGAAGCGGCAAAAGCUCAAAUUUGAAAUCUGGCCUCCUACGGGGGUCCGAGUUGUAAUUUGUAGAGGAUGCUUCGGGUGUGGCCGCCGUCUAAGUUCCUUGGAACAGGACGUCAGAGAGGGUGAGAAUCCCGUCUUGGGCGGCCGGUCCGCGCCCGUGUGAAGCUCCUUCGACGAGUCGAGUUGUUUGGGAAUGCAGCUCUAAGCGGGUGGUAAAUUUCAUCUAAAGCUAAAUACUGGUCGGAGACCGAUAGCGCACAAGUAGAGUGAUCGAAAGGUUAAAAGCACCUUGAAAAGGGAGUUAAACAGCACGUGAAAUUGUUGAAAGGGAAGCGCUUGCGGCCAGACUCGGGGGCGGGGUUCAGCGGGUGCUCGUCGCCCGUGCACUCCCCGUUUCCCGGGCCAGCAUCAGUUUCGACGGCCGGUCAAAGGCCUCCGGAAUGUGUCGUCUCUCGGGACGUCUUAUAGCCGGGGGUGCAAUGCGGCCCGUCGGGACUGAGGAACGCGCUUCGGCUCGGAUGCUGGCGUAAUGGCCGUAAGCGGCCCGUCUUGAAACACGGACCAAGGAGUCUAACAUCCACGCGAGUGUUCGGGUGUCAAACCCGUGCGCGCAGUGAAAGCGAACGGAGGUGGGAGCCUUAGGGCGCACCAUCGACCGAUCCUGAAGUCUUCGGAUGGAUUUGAGUAGGAGCGUGGCCGUUGGGACCCGAAAGAUGGUGAACUAUGCCUGAAUAGGGUGAAGCCAGAGGAAACUCUGGUGGAGGCUCGCAGCGGUUCUGACGUGCAAAUCGAUCGUCAAAUUU